CCGAGUUUACAACUCCCAAACCCCUGUGAACAUACCACUUUGUUGCCUCGGCGGAUCAGCCCGCUCCCGGUAAAAACGGGACGGCCCGCCAGAGGACCCCUAAACUCUGUUUCUAUAUGUAACUUCUGAGUAAAACCAUAAAUAAAUCA
rnacentral:misc_RNA from 1 species